rnacentral:rRNA from 1 species
GACGAACGCUGGCGGCGUGCCUAACACAUGCAAGUCGAACGAGGUCCAAGGGAGCUUGCUCCCUGAAGACCUAGUGGCGAACGGGUGAGUAACACGUGAGAAACCUGCCCUCGAGUGGGGAAUAACCCGGGGAAACCCGGGCUAAUACCGCAUACGCUCCUCUGGUCGCAUGGCCGGAGGAGGAAAGUUUUUCGCUCAAGGAGGGUCUCGCGGCCUAUCAGCUUGUUGGCGGGGUAACGGCCCACCAAGGCUACGACGGGUAGCUGGUUUGAGAGAACGAUCAGCCACACUGGGACUGAGACACGGCCCAGACUCCUACGGGAGGCAGCAGCGGGGAAUCUUGCGCAAUGGGCGAAAGCCUGACGCAGCAACGCCGCGUGCGGGAUGACGGCCUUCGUGGUUGUAAACCGCUUUCAGCAGGGACGAAAAUGACGGUACCUGCAGAAGAAGCACCGGCUAACUAUGUGCCAGCCGCCGCGGUAA